CAAGGUCCUCUCCGUGAAAGAACGAUGACCGAAACGAGAGAGACAGGGAACGAGAGAGUGAGGGUAGAACAACCGGGAAGAGACGAGAGGAGAGAAAGAAAGAAAAGAGCGAGAGAAAAAGGGAGACGGAGAAAGAAAUAAGCUUACAGGGAGGAGGCAGGGACGAAGGUUCCCACAAAAGACGAGCAAACGCUAUCAGGCCGAUCUCAGAGCUCACGUACCUACACACUUUGUUCCCCUGCAGAGGCUGAGGAAAACCGCCAGGGAUCGACUCACUGGGUCGGAUGUCCUCGAGCAACGAUAUCACUGACAACGUCACAAGGCGAGCAACUCAACGGCACAUCACCAUCAGUGUCCAUCACACGCGUAGCCGUGCCGUUCGUUCUACUUACUGGGAGUAUCCGAACUGGGUGAAGAAGAAAAAAGAAAAAAAAAAGAAAAAAGAAAAAAAAAUGAAACGGCCACGAGGCUCGUCACGGGUAUCGCGAGAGGCGGUUUCGAGAGCGGAGCACACCAGGCCGGAGUGCGAUAACGAAUUUAAACGUAACAACGAUGACGAGCACGACGACGAGAAUACCGGCAACCACGCGCGUUCCUUCUUUUCGCGACGCCACGAAAGAAUCUCGCGUUUUACGGGGCAACCGGAGUGUGUCCCGUGGAGCUAGCCGCCGAUUCCCGGCGCGGGAGGAUGCAAGGACAAAGAGACGAAAAAACGUCUGGUCGAAGCAGAGGGGGUAGCCCUCUAGCGAGAGAGAGGGAGAUACGGCGAGGGAAGGAGAACAGAGAGGGUAAGAAGAAGGAAAGAGAGCAGCGACCAGCCGGCCGAAGAAAGAACGAGCUGUGGUCGGAGGGAACGAGAGAAACGAAGACGGCUUGAGAGAGAGAAAAAAAAUGUUGGAGAGGAGAGAAAGAGAAAGAGAGAGAGAGAGACGAGAUAGCCAGUGACACACGGAUGCAGCGCGGCGUAACGAUAUCGAGUGGAGGUCCCCGCGGAAUGCACCGUGGCGACGUACCGUGGAGAGAAAGACCACACAGAGUGUACCGAUUGGACGGAAACGAGGCGAGGAGGAAGAGGCAGGGAAAUGGAACGACACUCGGAUGUAGAGUCAAGUAUGCGCGAACUUGGUGUAAACGGGCGAGACUAAGCGCGUCCCGGUGAGCAGGCGAAAUUGGCGCGUCUAGGUGCGGGAACAAGCACUGAGCGAUACUGAACCAGUAGAAGGGAAAGAAGAAUAGGCACGGGAGAAGCGAUAUGCGGACGAGACGGCGCGGUGCAACGAUAUCGAGUGGAGAUCCCCGCGGAAUGCAUCGUGGCCGGCGCGACGACGAGAACGCGAGAGGGAGAGAAACGGAGAGAAAAAGAAAGGGAAUAUUGGGAGAGUGAGCGAGAGAGAGAGAGAGAGAGAGAGAGAGAGAGAAGGAAGGGAAAAAGGAGAGAGAGAGAGAGAGAAAAAGGCAGGGACGCCCUAGAGAGGCAAGUAUGCGCGCGAAGAGAGACCUUCGUGUAUACCUUGUGUCGUAUACUCAGACUACCGAGUCACUCGCUUGCCGGAUACACACAAUGACGGAAGAGAGUAGCGUACCAGCAGUCGACGACGGCGUCGGCGGCGGCGCUCUGCAGUGCGUCGGCCCGCUGACCUUGACACUGACAUUGACUGAGCGAGCGACUGGAAGAGAGAGAGGCAAAUAAAAACAGGCAGAACAGAAGACGAAAGAGAGACGUAUCGUUCGAUAGUAUAUACGCGCGAUUAGGCGAAACUAAACGCGAUACGAAAUAGUGCCCAACCACCCAACAGUACAAGUACCGUUCGCUUCCUCUGCUUUCUUUGCUCCCUAGCUCUCCUCGGUUGACCGCAUCAACGAUCAACCGGGUAACGAGACUUCGUCGAUCGUUUACGAUGGGGUAUUCCAGACCUCGAAACAGGUUUUCAGAGGUGCACAGGCCUGCUCCUCGUUGCACCUGUGCCCGGGACAAGGAGAUCCAACGGGCCAACUUAGCAAGAGAGGGGAUCGAACGAUCUUUGGAUUGGGGAGCGACGAGACGCGUAGGGGAAUAGAGACAGAGAGAAGUAGGUGAAAGAAGGAUGAAAAGAGUAGAAAAGACGAUGGGAAAAGGAGAGAAGGGAACGGCGACGUUGAAGCCACAAACGAAAGGAAGAGAGAAAGAGGGAACUAGGCGAGACGUCGAAGAAAAGGAGAACUGACUUUCGCUUUCUGUGCGCGACGCAGCCUAGCCGUGGAGCGUCGAUCAAUAGCGCCGCGACGGUUGCACACAUACACACGUACAUACACACAUAUAUAUACAUGCGUGCCUUUUACAAACCCUCUCUAUCCCGACUGGUCGCGUGAUCUGUCUCUCUUUUGCCCUAUCUGUUCAUCCGUGUCUGUAUAUUAUCCCCUCCAACAUUCACUAUUCUGCACGAGGAGUCGCGUGUGUGAGGGUGGAAUUAUUGGGAUCAUGCUUCGUUGGCCAAGCAAGGGGUGCGAAGGAGAGACAGAGAGAGAAUCAAGGACCUCGAGCUACCGAUCAGCAACGCCCCACGUUCCCUCUCCUUCCUUCGGCCACGGUUGCACAGUUUCGCAUGGCCCUCUCACACCCUCUUUUUCUGCGGUCUCGCGCGCGCAUUUGCCCGCUUAUCGAGCAAUACAGACAAAAUCGGCACGAAGAAGGUAGAACGGACAGAGACAACGUACAGAGAGAUGGUACAGAACGCGAGCGCGUGUCGCGUAAAGGGCUUUUUACACCGCUCGAAAUGUGGAACUCGUGUUGGCCACGCAUUCGACGCAUAAAGUCACUUUAACGCGUCAUGUCGGAAAUUGCCGCGCGAGUUUACGAGCUUGUAAAGAGUCCCCGGUACUUCCUAGAAUACGUGCGAUCCCCCGACUUACGGGGAUAUAGCCUGAUUCCUCUUGGUUAUUCGUGUCCGGCUUGCACGACUAUAAAUUUUCCUAUGCCAUCCUGGAAAAAAUACUCGGUCCCUCUUUCUUUAUAUAUCUAUCUUUCUCUCUCUCUUGUUGCCACUGCAAGAUACCGCGAGCUUUAUGUCAGACCUUUAAUCUACCUUUAUUAAGCGCGCUGUCUCCUCCAUUUGUAAGGCACUUGCUCCCAGUCGUAAACCACGUGCUCGCAAAGAUCUUAAACGCGUCUGAUGUGUCUCGUGAAAUCAAUUAAGAGAAAAUAAACCGGUGCACCGUAAACAAGUAUUCCAACGAGUAGCUCGUUUGUUGCUAUAUUUAGCGGUAACGUUAUAAAUAUACUUUUAACCAGUCUUCGUGCUUUUAAACAUAACGUUUUCAUUCAUAUCAAUAGAGAAAUAUAUAGAAAUUAUAUCUCGUAUCAAGGAUAUCAAGAUCAAAAUAACAAAAUAUUUAGACUUACCUGGCUUACCGAUGCAGCGAGAUGUUUCAAACUAUCCGCAUAAUUUUUUAACACUGUGUCCGUUGUCAUACAGCUCACCCGAAACUCGUAAAACAUAUCCAGUUUGUACACGCAUCUCUGGCAAAUAUUUUUGGGCAAAGCAUCCUCUUUCGUUAUCUGUAAUAGAUGUAAAUAUUUUAUUAUAAAAAAUAUGUGCAAUUUUGGAAAUAAAUAAUAUAGAAAUAAUAUAAUUAUGUAAUAAAAUAAACAUAAAAUUUAUUUAAAAA